rnacentral:rRNA from 1 species
AUUGAACGCUGGCGGCAUGCCUUACACAUGCAAGUCGAACGGCAGCGCGGACUUCGGUCUGGCGGCGAGUGGCGAACGGGUGAGUAAUGUAUCGGAACGUACCAUUGAGUGGGGGAUAACGUAGCGAAAGUUACGCUAAUACCGCAUAUUCUCUCCGGAGGAAAGCAGGGGACCGCAAGGCCUUGCGCCCUUUGAGCGGCCGAUAUCAGAUUAGCUAGUUGGUGGGGUAAAAGCUCACCAAGGCGACGAUCUGCAGCGGGUCUGAGAGGAUGAUCCGCCACACUGGAACUGAGACACGGUCCAGACUCCUACGGGAGGCAGCAGUGGGGAAUUUUGGACAAUGGGGGCAACCCUGAUCCAGCCAUGCCGCGUGAGUGAAGAAGGCCUUCGGGUUGUAAAGCUCUUUCGGCCGGGAAAAAAUCGCAUGGAUUAAUACUCUGUGUGGAUGAUGGUACCGGAAUAAGAAGCACCGGCUAACUACGUGCCAGCAGCCGCCGUAACAC